CAUUCAUCAAAAAGAAAUUACAUGCAAGUCGGGUCUAACCCCGGUACUAGCCUUAAGCAUAAACAAAGGCCAAAGAAACAAUACAUGAAAAAGACCCAAUAACUAGAUAGUUGAAACACAUAAUCGAAAAGAAAGGAAAAACCACUGUUGAGAUUAUCUUCCAAACGCCACAAACCACGAAAAGGGUGUUUCUUCAGACUGGGUGCAUGAAGAGACUCUCGCCUUUAACUUCGGCAGCAUACCCG
rnacentral:lncRNA from 1 species